rnacentral:rRNA from 1 species
AGUGAACGCUGGCGGUAGGCCUAACACAUGCAAGUCGAACGGCAGCACAGUAAGAGCUUGCUCUUACGGGUGGCGAGUGGCGGACGGGUGGGGAAUACAUCGGAAUCUACUUUUUCGUGGGGGAUAACGUAGGGAAACUUACGCUAAUACCGCAUACGACCUACGGGUGAAAGCAGGGGAUCUUCGGACCUUGCGCGAUUGAAUGAGCCGAUGUCGGAUUAGCUAGUUGGCGGGGUAAAGGCCCACCAAGGCGACGAUCCGUAGCUGGUCUGAGAGGAUGAUCAGCCACACUGGAACUGAGACACGGUCCAGACUCCUACGGGAGGCAGCAGUGGGGAAUAUUGGACAAAGGGCGCAAGCCUGAUCCAGCCAUACCGCGUGGGUGAAGAAGGCCUUCGGGUUGUAAAGCCCUUUUGUUGGGAAGGAAAAGCAGCAGGUUAAUACCCCGCUGUUCUGACGGUACCCAAAGAAUAAGCACCGGCUAACUUCGUG